UACGUAGGGUGCGAGCGUUGUCCGGAAUUAUUGGGCGUAAAGAGCUCGUAGGCGGUUUGUCGCGUCGACUGUGAAAGCCCGAGGCUUAACCUCGGGCCUGCAGUCGAUACGGGCAGACUAGAGUUCGGUAGGGGAGACUGGAAUUCCUGGUGUAGCGGUGAAAUGCGCAGAUAUCAGGAGGAACACCGGUGGCGAAGGCGGGUCUCUGGGCCGAUACUGACGCUGAGGAGCGAAAGCGUGGGGAGCGAACAGG
rnacentral:rRNA from 1 species